GUCAACACAACCACAAAAAUUCCAAUGGGAAUCCAGCGGCUUAAAUGACAAGAAUUUUACAAUCAACAGCAGCCUUAUCCUUUAUAUAAUCAUCGUCAUCGCUUCAGGAUUCCUCCUCGUCGUCUUCUUCUUCACCCUCGAAUGGAUCUGCCACCGAUUUCUCCACCGCCACUUGCCCUCCAACACACUAUCCACAAGCACGUCUCAUCAGCCUCGAGGCCUUCACCCGACCGUGAUCCAAGCAUUGCCAACCAUGUUCUAUGAUUCUUCCACGAGUCCUGGCCCAAGUGCAAAUUCUGAGUGCAGUAUAUGUCUGGCUAUGUAUGAAAAUGGUGACAAACUUAAGGUAUUGCCUCAGUGCCACCAUUUUUUCCAUGGAGAAUGUGUUGAUCGGUGGCUUCACUCUUGGACCGCUUGCCCUCUCUGCAGAGCUACCCUCCUCGAUAGCUCAACAGCUGCUGCGCCUACCUCAGAAUAAAUAACAACUACCUGGUUCCUGGGUUCAUCAUAAUUUUUUUUUUUU
rnacentral:misc_RNA from 1 species